UGGAAAAAAUAAAAGAAAUAAAAAAUGUAUUGGUAAUAGUGAACAUUGUCUUGUUUUGACUUACAGGCAAUAUCACACCAGAAAAAUGGCUGCAUUUGGAAAAUGAAUAGCUGGAGAAAAUUCUAAUGAAUAAGCCCAAGGCCUCCAGAAAUGAGGAUGGAAAUAACCAGCAUAAGAGAGAAGAGACCAAAAGAAGGAUGAUCCCCCCCACAGAUGUGCAAGUGACUAAUUCGGUCAAGAAGAAAACCAGGCCUCCCUCACAGGGUUGAGAGAAGAUAGCACCAGCCAGCCUUGUAGCCUGAGAAGCUGUCUCCUCACCAGCUUUCUCCUCACCAACUCUUCAAAGAUCCAGUUGAUACAAAAUGCACAUGCUAACAUGUGAUUCCCCAGGCCUCACCAAGCUGAUGUGGUCUUCUCCAAGUCCCCGGUCCUGAGCAAGCUGAAUCUCCUUUGUCACUCAUGGGGCAACAGGGACUUACCUGCCAGAGCAGCAGAAAGGAGAGAUCCUUUAGCACAGGAGCUCAGAUGCCAGGAGCUCACACAAAAUGCUUGAAGAAAGGGGCUUAGCCAGAAACUGAACUGGGAGCUGAUGCCCAGUUUAGGAAGGGUUCAAAUCGAGUAGCCAAAGCAGCAAAUUCUACAUCAGAUCCACAAACUAUUAACUAGGAAACUAAAAACAAGUCAAAUCAAAUUGGGCUCAAAAGGAAUAUAGGGGCAGAAGAGGUGAUGCGCAGAUGGCUGUGCCUGGCCGAAUGGGGAGGGUAGGCACAGGCAGUGCACACCAUUGCUUUCUUUGCUUCCUUUUUAAAAGAUUUUAUUUUCAAGAGCAGUUUCAGAUUCAAAACAAAGUUAGAAGGACCGAGAUUUUUUCCAUAUACCCCUGUCCCUGGACAGGCAUAGACCCCCAUUAUCAAAAUCCCCUAUCAGAGUGUAAUAAAUGACAAUGAACCUACAUUGGACACAUCAUAAUCACACAAAGUCCUGGUGUACAUUAGAUUUCACUCUUGGUGUUUUACAUUCUAUGAAUUUGGACAAAUGUGUCAUGGCGUGUGUCCACUGUACCAUACAGAGAACUUUCACUGCCACAAAAAUCUUCUGUGCUCUGCCUAUGGUUGGGGAUCAGAAACCAAUACCCCAAAAUAUGGCAUUUUGACAUGCUGAACUGAAGAAGCUUUAAAGUCUCUCUGACCUUCCCACCACCUCUUCUGCGCCACUUUCUUUCCCAAAACCCAGGAUUAUCUUGUUCCCUUAUCUGCUUAAAGUCCGAGCCUGCCAAGAAGAAAACGAUGACCUCUGUCCCCUUCCCUGAGUUUUCAUUAACUGAACCUGGAUUCCAGGAAGAAAGAUUGAAGUCUGUCAACACACCUGGACAGACUUUUAUCACAAACCAUUGUCCACUCUGCGAACCCAACAGACUUUGUCCCAGACAACUGGAUGCUCUUCAAGCUUAUUGAAUUCUCCCUAGGAAUCACGCAUUGCCCCUCAGCAGAAUUCCUCUUAUCCCUACUCACAUAGUUUGCUUUGCCAGGAUCCUAAGAUUUCUUGGAAAACCUUAGGACCAGGAGGUAUUCUUGUGGACUCAUUCUGUUUUUCUGUAACUUCAAGAUGGUGUAUAAGCUUCUGCACCCCAAUGGGGGUUGGAGUAAUCACAGUGUCUCCUGUGUGAACGUAAACAAAAUUUGUAUGCCUAUUUUCCAAUUAAUGUGCCUUUUGUGAGUUGAUUUUUUAGCGAAAAUUCAGAGGGCUCCUUGACCCCUACACUAUUCAUCCCUCCCCCUCCCUUCAGCCCCUAACAACCACUGAUCUUCUUACUGUCUCCACAGUUUUAUCUUUUCCAGAAGGUCAUAUAGUUGAAAUAUUACAGUCCAUUACCUUUUCAGAUUAGCUUCUGUCACUUAGUAAUAUAUAUUUAAGAUUCCUCCAUGUCUUUUCAUGGCUUCAUAGUUCAUUUCUUUUCAGCAUUAAAUGAUAUUACAUUGUUUGAUGUACCACAAUUUAUCCCUUACCUACUCAAGGAAUACCUGGUUGUUUCCAAGAUUUACCUGGCCACCUAUGGAAUACCGUAUUUUCCAAAACUGGCCAUAAGAUAUUUCCUACUAUUUUUGCAUAUUGCAGUUGCAUAAGAAUUGUGUCCUACCUAAGGUUUUCCAGAAAUGUGGCACUUCUCCAUCAAGACAUGGAUUCUUCUUCCUCUUCCCAAGUUCAGGCAGAUUUGUGACUGGCUGGUAACCAUAGAGCAUGGUAGAAAUUACACGGAGUGAUUUCUCAGGUUAGGUUAUAAAUGAUGAAGCUAAUCUCCCUCACUGGAACAUAGGCAUUGAGUCCUGAGCCACCAAGCAAGUGUCCAGCUGCCCUGAAACUGCCAUGUGGUGAGGAAGCCCAAACUUGUAAUUUCACCUCUUCUGCCCCUAUUCCUUUUGUGCCCAACUGGAUUUGACUUUUUAUUUUUCUAGUUAAGUGAAAAGAUGGCAAGGGGAAGCACUGAAGCUGCAUCCUGAGUGAGAGAUGCCCGGCCAUUGUGCAGCUGCUCUACCCACCUCACCCUCAGCCUACUUUCCUCCACCCCCAACCCUUGUACUUUUGUUGCUCCUAUCACUGUCUGGUUACAGUUGGAGGAGAGAUUACAAGACAGUAGCACCCAGCUAAACCCUUCCUGAAUUCGCAAUUCACAACAGUUAUAAAAGACAAUAAAAUGACUGUUCUUCAAGUCGUAUGUUUUAAAGUGAAUUAUUAUUCAGCAACAAAUAACCCAUAACAUCAUCCUUUUUUCCUCACCUCCACUUCCCAGUGUUGCCUCCAGUCUGAGUACUUAAAGUUAGGCCUACACAUCCAAUCCUUUCCCUUCAGAGGAAACUUAUUAUAAACUGAGGCAUCCGGAAAAAGGUUAUCAUGAGGUUUUAAUGUCAUUCUCUGCUCUCUUCAUUAACAUAUAAAUAACCCUAGUAUAAUUUUUUCCUCUUGUUUACAUGCAAAUAUAUUUAAGAACUGAACUGCCCCAGUUGUUUAUGAUUGUGUCCAUACCAUAAUCCCAAAACAAUUUUAAAAAGAGAAUAAAAUUAAUUAUUUAUUGGUUUUGUGUUUUUCUCCUUCUGGAAUCCAUUAAACCAACCAUAUUUUAUUGAGUUUCUCAUUUGGAGAAGGAGAUGAUUUGUCUUGUUUUUACAUUUUCCUUUGUUCUUAUCUUGGCAAUUAACUAUUGGAUGAUUUGUUAAUUAGAUAACUGACAUCCAAAGGCACUUCAUUCAUUGAAAAAGUAAAAUAAUAACAGCUCAUCGUCUAGGGAAAAACGCAGAGGAAAAAUGAUCACAUUUUUAACAUCGUGGUUGAUGUAGGUAGUUGAACUUGAAUAUGUUUACCAAACCACUAAAUGCAGACCGAUGCUUUUGGAAGCUAACUUUAAGAUGAAUAAACUUUUGCUUAUCCUAAUUGCCCUUAGGAAAUGACAGCACAUGUUUAAUAAGAAGGAAAAAAGUAGAGUGGGUUUUCGUGUGACUCUUUCCUAUGACAUUUCUUACUCCACUUUUAACAGAAUCGACUAAAAUCAUACGAAAAAAAAUCAUGCCCUUUAAACUUGUCUGUAUUAGUUCUUUAUAACUCAGAGAUGCCCCACUAUUCAAUGUAUUUUCAGCAUCAAAAAAAAUCUCCACCCUCAAAAAAUACUCGUUUACCCUUGAAAUUGUUUUUGCUAUCACCACAUGAAUUCUGAAGAAAGGCUUGAUUAUAUUGUUAAAUCAGUGUUGAUUUAAACAUGGAUCGACUUCCCACAUAGCCACCAUAACUGAGUUGUUGCUAGAACUGAAAGAAACUGGAAGGAAAUGAUCAAAAUUUCCCUAAAAGCAGUAACCCUCCCUCUGCACAAAUUGCCCUGGUAGGAAAAAUCUCAGUCCCGCCUACCCUAAUGUGAACUAAUUUGGUCUACAGUGACACAGAGAAGGCACACAUAAGGAGACAUUUUCCAAUGUUUAGAAUUCUUUUCACUGCUAUAGAAAGCAUCUUGCUAUAGUAAGAAAAAGGCCAAAGAUCUGCCUUACACAGCUCGGGAUCUUUCUCCUUUGGCCUUAGCAUUUGGGGCUGGAGGUACUAUUUGUGGAAUGAGGCUGAGGAAAUGAGCCAAAAUGAAUUUCAGGCUUGCCAGAGCUUACAAUCUUAAUGUAAAUUCAACAAUUAGCAAUGGCUUAGCUGUGAAAGCUGGAAAAAAUUCCACACAUCAGAUGGUGAGAGAGGCUCGUUGGAAAAAUGGAAAAAUCAUUUCCAUUUUACUGUUGUUAUGCUGUCAUGUCCUCGCUCAACUAACCUUGAAAGCAGACCUGAACGCUAUGAGUCAUCGACUCAUGAAGAUGCCCCCAGAAAGGUAACGUCCUUAUUCGUGCAAAGUAGAACUAUGAAACUGUACAAAGUCUAUGCAGGGAGAUUUAAAACAUGAUACAAUAUGAGGAACAAGAUGUAUCAUCAGCUUCAAAAACUGCCGAGGUUAAUGGAUGUUGUUGGAUGCCAAGAGGAUCCAAUUAAAUUAAGAUACUUCUUACAAGAAUCAACAGCUCUAACAUGUCCUUGUCAGCCUAAAGCUUAUAGCAGGUGUGAUCCUGUAAUAUGACUUUUUUGUGUUUGUUUCCUGAAGUUUUUAAAGAAGGCAGAAAACACACAUUGUACACCAUGGAGUCAAUAGCUGCCUGUGCCCAGCAAAACGUGGAGGUCUCCUUCCCUCAUUUCCCCUCCUUGGGGUUUUUCUCAAUAGGAAGAAAAAUGUAAAUAUGCAGGUGCAUAUUUCAUCAUCCAAUUAGAAAGAAUAUAAUGAUAUGGGAACUUGAGGGAAAGACCUGAAAUUCUAAGGACUUCACAUGCUAAACACAAUUACUUACUCUCUGGGGGGCUUUCCCCAAAAAUCUUUCACCCUUAUUUUUGUUGUUGGUCAUUACAGAUGAUGCAAACUUUGCAACCAUCCUCAAAACCAAGGACCAUGUUCCAUUUAAACCUUUUAAUCAAUUAUACAUCACACCCAGUCUGGGAGUAAAUCUUGCUAGUGCCCUCAAGCUUUCUUCUUCAUGACUUUUCCUCAUUCCUUCACACCAUAAAAUACCCCCCUUUUCUAUAUUAAACUCUGUUCUGAGUGCAGAUCAAACACGAUCAAUAUUUUAAUACAAAUGUCCCCCAAUUUUUCUCCAUCAAACAUCCAUUCAGCUUAUAUCUUAGUUUGGAUUUCCCCCCGAAAGCACAGCCUGAGAAAGAAUUCAGGUGCAAGUAGUUUAUUUGGGACAUGAUCCCAGGAAGCACCGGGGCACUCUGGGGAAGCCAGAUAAGGAAGGCAGGAAAGCAAGUGAAGUUCCUACUGUGGGCAACCAUGCUGAGAUCAAACUGGGGACCUUCUAAAAUACCGCACUUCACAUCCCAGAUUGUCCCACCAAGGCACAUUCAUCCACCAACUCAUGUUCCACAUUGUUGGGGGAUUACUUGCAAGACUGCUUGACUCCACAGAGCUUCCAGCCUACACAGUGCACAGGCAAGGGUGCACUCCUGUGGCCAGAGAACAUCCUCUGGCAAAAUGGUUGUGGAGUGCCCACUAAAGCUGCAAGUGAUCUUCAGAGAGGACUGAGUGGACACAGGCAAGACUCCCCCAAUGAUGCCCGCUACCUACUGCCUGUGCCUGACCAGGCACAUGCUCAGCUAUACACACAAUGGGUAGUUUUGUUUAUUGAAUGAAUAUUCAGAUAUAUAUUCUCUCCCCUUUGAUUGUCUAACUGAAUUAUGAUUCGUAUUUGUAUCUUCCCUCAGAUAGAACCUUUAACCCAAUCAUUCAUUUACCCAUCUUUUAAUCUGUACAAAGAGCUUCCUGUCUCCAUUCUGCAAAUACUUGUUUUGAACCCAAUUAUCUCAGCGCUCUUCUCUCCCUUAUGCACUGUCAAGACAAUUUACUUCAAAUGGGAAAAAGAGCUCCAGCUCAUGGCCCCUGCUUUUGAAUCUCAGGAAAAUAAACGGAUAUCUUUCUCAACCACAGGGCUGUAUCGUGAGUCUUUUUCAGAAGUUUGAAAAAUGUUUAAUUUUUUCAGAUUCACAUUAUGUUCUACAUCUAUUUACAUACGUAUAAAGGAAAUGUGUUCUUUUAUAUUAGCUUCUUUUUCAAUCAGCAAAUAAGGCAAAAAAUUUCACCGCAGCAAAUUUUGUUGGUUUUAUAUUUAAAUCACAAUUGUUUCUUUGUAAAAGAGCUUGUAGUAAAAUCCAUACAGAACUAGAAAGAAUCGUGUGCCAAAAAAAAUGCGAGCUGCCAUUCAGAAACUUAUUUUGUUUUCCAUAUGAGAUAUUAACUACUGAUUUUUCUUUUUCCUAUCACAUUGUCCAGUUCUUACAGCCUGGGGUGGCUCUUAAUCCUUGUUUGUGGAGACUGUAACACUUUAUCGAUUCUCAAAAGAUUUUUCUAUCUGAGAGUGAUUUUUUUCAGUGUCACUAGUACAUCUAAGUACUUUGGUGUACAUGUGUGCUGGGGAUUCAGGGACAUCAUUUCUCACCCUCUGACAUGGCCUAAGUACUACAUUUCCUUAAAAGUUGCAGAAAUAGCCUUAAGGCUAUUGAUGGGAGUGUCCUGUAGGGUCUCUUGUCUGGCUCAUAUUUGUAAUGAACUUGCCUUUAGACUACAGCGAUAAAAAGGACAUAAUCCUGAAGUGAUUCAUAAUCCUUAAGAGAAGCUCCGCCAAUUUAUGUGGCAGGCCUCAAUCUCAUGUGAAGAUUUAAUGAGAACCACAUGCAGUCAAAAGUAUACCCUGCAUCUGUCACAGCAGAUAGCUCUGGAAAAGCAGAGCAAUACCUCGUGUGAAGACGAGCUAUUUAGACAUUUUUAACUGACAGCAAUGCAAUGACCCUAACAGAGAACUUGGGGGAAAGAGAAACAAAAAAAUAAAAAAGAUAACCGGUGCAGCAAAUAUUGAUCCAUUAUAUGCUUUCUGGUAAUUUCUGAAUAUUCCCCAAAAGAAAAGCAAGAUAUGGAUAAUUUAUGUGCCUAUUGAAAGUAAUUUUCCAAGCAUGAAUGGCUGAAGGAUUGUAAUUUCUUUCCCCCCAGUCAUUAUGGGUCUCCCAGAGGUCAUACAAAUAACCAGCAUCCUUUCAUCCUAAACACCGCUAAGCCCAGGUUGAGAUAUGAGCCUAUUAAAAUUCGGUUUAAAGAAGAAUUUUAUUUUGCCGAUGAUCUCAUUUAUUAAUUGCUGACUGCCUCUUAAAACCUUCAGUGGAAGACAAAGAGACCUUCAAAUCCUUUCUCUGAGAAUUAAAGCUUUCAUUUAAGGAUUCCAGAUGGGCUGUAUUUAGGUAUUAAAGUUCAAGUACUUUAACCACCAAAAGAUGAAAGGAAUUUUACCCAGUUUUGUUCCACAAUUGCCACCCAGUAUUUCUUCAGUCCUGGCCAAAUUGAGCAUCAAUUUAAAUCAGAUUUACUCAUGGGACCCUCUGUAAUCACAGUCAACACAAGAUAUUAGGGAGUUUAGGAAACGGGUCUAUUAAAUGACAAUUAAAGCUGUCAGCCUUCCAGAGCUUAUUUUCGGUUAAUUUGAUCCUAGUAGACAGUCGUAUUGGACGGCUGUAAACAAAGAGGUUUGCUUUGCAAUACAAGCUGAGAUCCAGAGCUGGCUGCCUGGAACCUGGUGAAGGUGCGGGUUUCACUUUGGCCUUAAGAUGGCUUCAGCUGUUCCUCUGAAUAAAAGACUUCAAAAUCACUUCAACUAUUUAAAACCUCCUGAAAGUCCUAACGCUCAGCCAAAGAAGAGUUUAACUGGCACCUUUCAGAGAAAGGAGUCAGCAGUGAGGUCCUGGGUACUGACUGGCAUUUCCUUUGGAUGUGAAGUCUCAUGGAAAUUAUGUAGGACUAGGUGUUCUCCAUCCGGCAUAUAGGCAAUAGUAAAGAGAGCACUUUGCACCUAGAAUGUGCCUGAAAUCACCUAUCAAAAGUCUUAGGUUAUCCACACCCUUUAACGCAGGGCUCUCAUCUUCAGGGGUUUAUUCUGAAGAAAGAGUCAGAUAAUUGUGCAAAUGCAUGAACAAGUAUGUUUGCUGCAGUAUUCGAUGUAGACAAGAUGUAAAGCAGGCUUGGUUUUGUGACUCUUCCUGCCUCAUUCUCCUUAAGCCACCCCAAAGCCCAUAUCAUUUUUCUCUGCCUUAAAAACCACUUCAAUGCCACUGUCCUCUUAGGCAUUUAGCUGGAGAGCGGUGUCCUCCACAGGUUGAAAAUUCUAGGACCUGGGCAUUUCUCCAUUCCACCCUUGGAUUCAUACUCUCUACAGUCCGCAAGGCUAGAAAAACAGAUACAUUUUUUGUACGUUUUUAUACUAAGGUGUUCAUGGAUUAACAUUGCUUCUACUAAGUAGUAUUUUAUAUUGUAAAAUGAGAUCGUCCUAAAGACAAGACUUUAAACCAAAAAUGGGAAUUUCAGGCUCCAUAUCAACCCAGCAAUAAGGAUGUUUGUGGUUUAAAAUUCUUUUUAAAAAUAUCUUUUCAGUGUGUGGGUGUGUGUCUUAGUUUAUUUGUUAUGUUUCAUUAUGAAUAGAUAUUCAUGCUUAUUCUAGAAAAUGUGGGAAAUGAAAGGAGAAAGGAAGACAAAAUUCAUCCAUAUUCCCACCAUGCAGAAAUAGCAUUUUUAACAUUCUAUUGUGUUUCCUUUCAGUCUUGGUAAUAUGCACAAAUGUUUGUUUUUUCUCUGGAGUCAUAAUUAUAGUAUAUGUACCAUUUUGCAUUUUUAAAUUUUGCACAGUUAUAGAAAAAUAUCAGAAGAGUUCUACACUAAUAAGGCUUUCCAUGGGAUGACACUUUACAGUAGUUCACUGUUUCACUCUUUCUUUGCACAUCAAUUUACCUGCCAAGGAUACUUUAAAAGCGUUUGCCUCCUCUUUAUGGGCUUCCCAUUCACUCCCAUCUCUAUGUUACAUUGGAAACCUUCACUGUAUCUAGCUGGUAAGUAAAUUUCUCCAAAUGAACACUUCAGAGGCAUUUAAACCAGAGCAACUCCAUCUUGAAUAGGAGCUGGGUAAAAUGAGGCUGAGACCUACUGGCUUGCAUUCCCAAGAGGUUAAGGCAUUCUCAGUCACAGGAAGAGACAGGAGGUCAGCACAAGAUACAGAUCAUGAAGACCUUGCUGAUAAAACAGGUUGUAAUAAAGAAGCCAGAUAAAACACACCCAAACCAAGCGGCGACGAGCAUGACCUCUGGUCAUCCUCAAUGCUACACUCCCACCAGUGCCGUGACAGGUUGCACAUGCUAUGGCAAUGUCAGGAUGUUACCCUAUAUGGUCUAAAAAGGAAAGGCAUGAGUAAUCCACCCAUUGUUUAGCAUAUAAUCAAGAAAUAACC